GACGAACGCUGGCGGCGUGCCUAAUACAUGCAAGUCGAGCGAAGUUUUUCUGGUGCUUGCACCGGAAACACUUAGCGGCGAACGGGUGAGUAACACGUAAAGAACCUGCCUUAUAGACUGGGACAACUAUUGGAAACGAUAGCUCAUACCGGAUAACAGCAUUAACUGCAUGGUUGAUGUUUGAAAGUUGGUUUUGCUAACACUAUGAGAUGGCUUUGCGGUGCAUUAGCUAGUUGGUGGGGUAAAGGCCUAACAAGGCGACGAUGCAUAGCCGACCUGAGGGGGUUCGCCGACACAGUGGGAGAGAGACGGGGCCGAGUCUCCUGGGAGGGGCAAGUGGGGAGUAUUCCGCGAAGUGGGCGAACGUGAGACGGAGAAGCGGCGCGAGUGAUAAGGAGGUUUGCUUUGCGUAAAUCUGUGUUGUGAGAGAAGAAUGAUUGUAUAGUAACUAUACAGUAGAGACGGUACCUAACCAGAAAGCCACGGCUAACUACGUG
rnacentral:rRNA from 1 species